GGACCGGCACCGCGCGUGCGUAGAGCUGUCAGCCGCACCCAGGCCGCGCUUCUAGCAAAGUUGCAAAGCAACGGGCAGACCUGUCAGAACGGUGAAGAUCCCGGCGAUGGAAAAAAGGCGAAACUGCUCCGCGUAGGCUGCUCGGAGUGGCAUCGCACCUUGUUCGAGUCCGAAGAAGUUCCCGCUUCUCUAAGCCGGCUGAAGGGAUGCGAGUCUCCUCUUGUCCCAACGGGACUGUGUCCUGACACAGAGUGGACUCCGCCCCAAGAGUGCGAGCGUCCUGAGCGUUCAGGGCAUCCUGAGCCGCGGAAGGCAUCCGGCCACACCCCGCUCUUUACCCGCCAACGCCAGCCCAGGUGGCCAGGCUCAGAAUGGACUGUGAGCCUGUGUGUUAUGCAUCUCUGGUUGUAGAGACAAAAGGACAAAGAUGGAACCCACCAAGGAUGCUCCCGGCUGAAUGAAUUGUUGUUCUCUGGCUUACACAAAGUCAAGCGAAUGAUCGUCCCAUGUUAUGUAAUAUAGCAACGGCCUGCUUACCUUACUCCUUUAAUCUACGUUAUUCUGGAAAGUAACACUUGAAAUAAAAAGUAGAUACAUUCUACUGGGAAUGUGACCCUCAGAGAAGGAAAGAAAGACCGAGGGGUUGAACCUGAACACGUGAAAGAGAAUCCAAGACUUUCCCUAAGAGACUCUUUCCUGUUCUCGUGAUGCACUAAUGACAGAAAUCAUAUGACUAAUGGAGAGAAACUGGUAGAUAUACAAGAAGAACUGCAUUGGGAUAACCGCCAUCUUACAAAGGUAUGCAUCCAGGCCUAUUCUGCCCUUGGACCACAUUGUACGUUUAGUGUUUCGGAAGAGAGAAAUCAUCAAAGGCGCACCCAAAGAAACAUCCGAAUGAAAGCUCAGUGGCGUUUGCUUUUCCCAAGGACCGGCAUCAUGGUUUCAGAGUUAACACACUGGAGAAAUACCUAGCCCUCCAUGUCACUCCCUACAUCCUCAACACUCACUCAGAGAGGGGCAUUGAAGAAAGGAUCACCAGUGAGUAGUACUUCUCAAAGAGAAAGCAGAAGAGUUUAUUGCUGCUGAAAGUCUCUGAAUAAAUCCAUGCGCCAAAUCACAACCCGAAAAAGCUCCAGAAAGGAUGCACAUGGUCUAAAAAAUGGAGAGACUGGUGUCCUAUGCCCUGUCUUGUUACCCUGAGACAUGAUGUUGGGUAGAGUUGGUCUAGGUACAAUAUUAUUGAAUUUGCAGGUGCCUAAGUAUAGGGGUCUCACACUGCCAUAUACAGUCAUUAUAGUGUCGGGAGACAAGAAAAUCUUUUUUCGGUGCAUCUGAGAACAUUGGAAAAAUAAUUGCAAUGGCCUGCAGACCUUAGGGACUUUUUGGAGAAAUACAGUGUGACCUCUGAAAAUGCUUUAGAUUCUGUCAAAUAUCAAGAUGCAGAUCCAUAUCAGUGAUUACCAAAAAGGCCAGUAUUCAUUGUUCUUGAAGCUAGUCACAGAUAGACACCAAUCAAGAGUCAAAUGCUGUAUCCUCUAACCAUUUAGAGCUUGGAUGCAGCCCUGAGUAUAAAGGAAGUACUGUGGACCCCUUCACCACACAAAGGUCAUAUGUUCAAAUCUCACCCCUCCCAAAGGUGAUGAUAUUAGGGGGCUGGGACUUCCAGGAGUGAACAGAACAUAUUCCCUUAUUAAAAAGGCUCAAGGGAGCUCACUUACCCUUCUGUCAAGUGACAACAGACAGCUGCUGUGAGUAAUUAAGUGUGUUCUAGCCACAGACCCUGCCAGUGCCUUGAUCUUGAAUUUUCUAGCCUGCAGAAGUAUGAGAUGUUUCUGUUAUGUAUAAUUUACUCAAUAUAUAGUAGGUGUUCUGUUAGCUUAUUUUAAAAUGCAAUGCCUGUAUUUAUCUUGAAAAUAAAGGACUUUAGGAGUGUGUGUGUGUGUGUGUGUGUGUGUGUGUGUGUGUGUGUGUGUGUGUGUUCACAUACAUAGCAUAGACAAUAUGUAAGAACUGUGUUCAGUUAUGGAAAAAAUAAAGCCACUUUGCCAU
rnacentral:lncRNA from 1 species